GUUUGAACUUUAAAAUUAUAAUAAAAAAUAAUAAAUGCUUCAUGUAAAGAUUAACAUUCUGUCUCAGUACUUAAGGUUGUUUCUCACCCUUUAGAAAGGAAGGAUGAAGAAAUGGAGUUCUGAAGUGGGACCAUCCCUUUCAGUUGAGGGUGCCAUCAGCUGGGUCUCCCUGUUGGCAACAGCAUGACAGAUGGCGACACAUCUCAUGUUUGCAGCAAAGGCUGCUUUGGCUUACAUCUGUCCGGCUAGCAAAACAGAGCAAGCUGCCAAAAACAACAGUCCGAGUGAAAACAGAGUAAUAACACCAGCAGCGUGGGAGACAGCAGCCAAGGAGGAACACACGAGCCCCAGAGAACAGGCCAUCAAUUUUCUUGCUGUGGCUGGCUGGAGUAAACUGAAAUGUAUAUUGCAGUGGCUUCUGACGCCGGCCACUGCCUUAUGCUCCACACUUCAGACUCAAAAUACGUUACCCUAAAAAUGAAGCAAAAAAUUCCCCAAGCUAUUAAUAGAUUCGUAUAAAGAAAUCCCUUGUAGUUUUUAAUCGUUUACAUCUGGGACUGAGAAACCAACCGUAAAAUGUCAGUAUAGCUAUUACAUGGGUCACUGGAACAGGUUUAUGUUAGCUAAUAUGCUGAAACAGUAGAUUUGGAAGAGGAUAGUUUAUGGCCUUUAGUUCAUUUGUUGACAGGAAGAAUCAGGAGCAGAUUUGUUUUAUGCCUGAACCCAUCACGGAACAACUAGGAACAGAGCAGUGAUUAAAGUCCAGGCAACAGGAAUAGGAUAACGACUAGGCUGCAUAUAUAUUUCUGUGAGUGAACUAGAUGUUUGUGAAGGGAAGGAGCUAAUGAGAUCACAGAAAUCAGCAGAGCAGAGCAGAGUGCUCCUGUGCAGCCCUCUGAAGUGACUCAGCAAAG
rnacentral:lncRNA from 1 species